rnacentral:rRNA from 1 species
AUGCCUUCGCUCCGCGCUUCACUUUACGCGGAUGACGUGGCUCUUUUUAUCAACCCGGUGAAGACGGAGGUUGCAGCUCUACGCGCGAUCCUAACGGCGCUUGGUUCGGCCUCCGGACUCAAAGUCAACUUCCAAAAGAGCGCCGUCCUCCCCAUCUGUUGUGAGCACCUUGAUGUGGCUGAUAUCGUGUCGCCUUUGGAGGCAAGGGUUGAUAGUUUCCCCUGCAAGUUCCUGGGCCUGCCAUUAUCGCUGCGCUCGCUUCGCAAGCUGGAGUUGCAGCCUCUUCUGGACAAGCUGUGCGCCCGCCUUGCCUGUUGGAAGGCUAGGCUGCUGACCCUUGCAGGUAGAUUGGUGCUCCUCAACUCGGUGCUGUCUGCAACCACGAUCUACUGGCUGGCCAUCUUCGCCUUGCCACCGUGGGCGCGCAAGGAAAUAGAUCGGCUGCGUCGCGCUUGGCUAUGGCGUGGCGAGGAAACAUGCCAUGGGGGGCACUGCAAAGUGGCAUGGGGACGCGUCUGCCGACCACGGGAGUUGGGUGGCCUGGGCAUCAUUGACCUGGACCGGUUCGGGUGGCCCUUCGCCUGCGAUGGCUCUGGGCAGAACGGACGGCGGACGCGCCCUGGCUGGGACUUCCUGCCCCGGUGA